rnacentral:rRNA from 1 species
CCUACGGGAGGCAGCAGUGAGGAAUAUUGGACAAUGGGCGCAAGCCUGAUCCAGCCAUGCCGCGUGCAGGAAGACGGUCCUAUGGAUUGUAAACUGCUUUUAUACAGGAAGAAACACCUCUACGUGUAGAGACUUGACGGUACUGUAUGAAUAAGCAUCGGCUAACUCCGUGCCAGCAGCCGCGGUAAUACGGAGGAUGCAAGCGUUAUCCGGAAUCAUUGGGUUUAAAGGGUCCGUAGGCGGUUUAAUAAGUCAGUGGUGAAAGCCCAUCGCUCAACGAUGGAACGGCCAUUGAUACUGUUAAACUUGAAUUAUUAGGAAGUAACUAGAAUAUGUAGUGUAGCGGUGAAAUGCUUAGAGAUUACAUGGAAUACCAAUUGCGAAGGCAGGUUACUACUAAUAUAUUGACGCUGAUGGACGAAAGCGUGGGGAGCGAACAGGAUUAGAUACCCUGGUAGUCCACGCCGUAAACGAUGGAUACUAGCUGUUCGGAGCAAUCUGAGUGNGUAGAGAAGUAGAGUAAGUAUACCACCGUACGGAGGUACGGUUACGUACGAAGAAAGUAGUAAACGUUAAAGUUAAGUAAGUUAGUACGGACGUAGAGAGAGACGACGGACGACGACGAGGGAGGAGG